rnacentral:rRNA from 1 species
UACGUAGGGUGCAAGCGUUGUCCGGAAUUAUUGGGCGUAAAGAGCUCGUAGGCGGUUCGUCGCGUCGGCUGUGAAAUCCCGAGGCUCAACCUCGGGUCUGCAGUCGAUACGGGCGGACUGGAGUUCGGCAGGGGAGACUGGAAUUCCUGGUGUAGCGGUGAAAUGCGUAGAUAUCAGGAGGAACACCGGUGGCGAAAGCGCUCAACUGGCCCAAUACUGACGCUAAAGCGCGAAAGCUAGGGGAGCAAACGGG